CUUUCAAAAAAGUUUUUAUUGUAGUAAAACACAAAAUUUACCAUCGUGACCAUUUAAGGGUAUAGUUCAGUGGCAUUAAGUACAUUCAACUUUUUGAGCAACCGCCAUCACCAUUCAUCAUCCAUCUCCGUUUUUUUGUUUUGAGAUGGAGUCUCACUCUGUCGCCCAGGUUGGAGUGCAGUGGCAUGAUCUUGGCUCACUGCAACCUCUUCCUCCCCAGUUCAAGCAAUUCUCCUGCCUCAGCCACCCAAGUAUCUGGGAUUACAGGCGUGCACCACCACGCCCGGCCAAUUUUUUUUUGUAUUUUUAGUAGAGAUGGGGUUUCACCACAUUGGCCAAGCUGGUCUCAAACUCCUGGCCUCAAGUGAGCCGCCCGCCUCAGCCUCCCAAAGUGUUGGGAUAACAGGCGUGAGCCACCAUGCCAGGCCAUCGUCUCCUGAACUUUUUCAUCUGCCCAAACUGAAACUCUGUACCCAUUAAACAAUAACUCCUCACUGCCCCCUCCUCCAGUCCCUGGCAAAUACCAUUCUACUCCUAGAGUACUUUCAGACUCAGUUUCUUCUUUCACUUAAUAAAAGACAGGGUCCACUGCUGACUAAUGGGAUUGUUUCUAUAUUUGGAGGCCUUCUUGCAGACAUGUGAUUUGAGUUUAUUGCAGAGAAUGGUAAUAGGAAAUGGGAUUGUACAAAGAAAAGAGAUGGAGAGAAAACUGGAUGAGGCUGGGCAUGGUGGCUCACGCCUGUAAUCCCAGCACUUUGGGAGGCUGAGGCGGGUAGAUCACCUGAGGUCAGGAGUUUGAGACCAGCCUGGCCAACAUGGUGAAACCCUGUCUCUACUAAAAAUAC
rnacentral:lncRNA from 1 species